UAAACUAGGAUUAGAUACCCUAUUAUUUUAGAAUGUUAAUGCCUUGAGUAGUAUUAGUUAUGUUCUUGAAACUUAAAGAAUUUGGCGGUAUCUCAUUCCUUUCAGAGGAAUCUGUCUCGUUAUCGAUAGUCCGCGUUGGAUCUUACUUAGGUUUGUAUACCGCCGUUUAAUUGAUUAUCUUUUUAGAGUUUACUAAAUUUUCUGGUUUCUUUAUUUUGAUUUAUUUCAGGUCAAGGUGCAGCUUGUUUCUAAGUGAAUGAUGGAUUACAUUAGUAUUGGAUUGUGGAUUAUUGAUUAAAAUAUUGAUAUGAAAUUGGAUUUGGUUGUAAUGAUUUGCAGAUUGUUAUUGUGAUAGAUGGUUCUGGGAUAUGUACACAUCGCCCGUCGCUCUCGUGUUAAUGAGAUAAGUCGUAACAUAGUA
rnacentral:rRNA from 1 species